rnacentral:tRNA from 1 species
GCCCGCCUGGCGGAAUUGGCAUACGCGGCAGGUUGAGGGCCUGUGUCCGUUUGGACGUCUGGGUUCGAGUCCCAGGGCGGGCA